GGAGUUGUAGCUCAGUGGUAGAGUGCUUGCCUAGCAUGGGUGAGGCACUGAGUUCAAUUCUCAGCACCA
rnacentral:tRNA from 1 species